AUAGCGGAUAGUACCGUGAGGGAAUGGUGAAAAGUACCCCGGGAGGGGAGUGAAAUAGUACCUGAAACCGUGUGCCUACAAGCCGUGGGAGCGUCGGAACGUGCUUGCACGUUCUCGUGACUGCGUGCCUUUUGAAGAAUGAGCCUGCGAGUUUGCGGUGUGUUGCGAGGUUAACCCGGGUGGGGAAGCCGUAGCGAAAGCGAGUCCGAA
rnacentral:ncRNA from 1 species